UACGUAGGUGGCAAGCGUUGUCCGGAAUUAUUGGGCGUAAAGCGCGCGCAGGUGGUUUCUUAAGUCUGAUGUGAAAGCCCACGGCUCAACCGUGGAGGGUCAUUGGAAACUGGGGAACUUGAGUACAGAAGAGGAAAGUGGAAUUCCAAGUGUAGCGGUGAAAUGCGUAGAGAUUUGGAGGAACACCAGUGGCGAAGGCGACUUUCUGGUCUGUAACUGACACUGAGGCGCGAAAGCGUGGGGAGCAAACGGG
rnacentral:rRNA from 1 species